GGGGAAUAUUGCGCAAUGGGCGAAAGCCUGACGCAGCGACGCCGCGUGAGGGAUGAAGGUCUUCGGAUCGUAAACCUCUGUCAGGAGGGAAGAACCGCCACGGUGCUAAUCAGCCGUGGUCUGACGGUACCUCCAAAGGAAGCACCGGCUAACUCCGUGCCAGCAGCCGCGGUAAUACGGAGGGUGCGAGCGUUAAUCGGAAUCACUGGGCGUAAAGCGCACGUAGGCUGCUUGGUAAGUCAGGGGUGAAAGCCCGCGGCUCAACCGCGGAAUUGCCUUUGAUACUGCCGAGCUUGAGUCCGGGAGAGGGUAGUGGAAUUCCAGGUGUAGGAGUGAAAUCCGUAGAUAUCUGGAGGAACAUCAGUGGCGAAGGCGACUACCUGGACCGGUACUGACGCUGAGGUGCGAAAGCGUGGGGAGCAAAC
rnacentral:rRNA from 1 species